UCAGAGUGGUGAACUGGCUCGCCCAAGGUGACAGAGCUGAGUUCCAGAGAUGGAACUCAGAUCCGUCUGCUUCAGAAUUUACACAGGAAGACCAUCACUCCCCUAGCUUGGAACUCCAUUCCUGAAGGACCUGCUGUGGCUCCCUACUGUCUUUCAAACCAAGUUCUAUUUCUCAGUUCUUUUGGAGCCCCUUAAUAUCUUGUUCACUUCCAGGUAAGUAAAGAUAAUCCGGAAUGGGGAAGGGAGAACUGGGAUGGUUCAUCGGAAGUUACUUCUAGGUCCAGGUGCAUUUGUUCAUUCUUAUUCACAACACAGAUAUUAAAUAUCUAUUAUAUGCCAGUCUCUCUUCUGGGCUCUGAGGACACACAAGUGAAUAAGACAGACAAGGUCCCUGUUCUUGAGACCUCACAAGACUCCCUGACUCACUGUAGAGCAUUAUUCUCAGGGUAGAAGAGUACAGGCCAUUUCCCAGCUGCACAACCUUGAACCAAUGCUCUGGGCGUCGUUUGUAAAAUGGGUCAAUAACACUACCUACCAGAUAAAGUUAUUGCAAAGAUUAAAAGAGAUGGUAAAGAGCUUGGCACAGUGCACGGCACAUAGUCUACAAUCCAUGAAAGCUGCUUAUUAUUAUUAUUGUUGUUACUUCAUUUCUACCUCCAGCUCCUUUUACAGCACUUAGUGUGGUGGCUAAAAGCCCG
rnacentral:lncRNA from 1 species